UAUCACUUCCUUUUCCUCUGUAAAGGCCAGCUCAGUGGAGGCAUCAGUUGAAUCUUCAUCACUAACAUCACUAACACGUAUCCUGUCAGGGUCUUAAGCAAUUCUUUUAUUUUGAGGAAGAUAAAAUGAUCUGCUUUCUCCUCUUCUGUUGUCUGGCAGGUGUUAGUCUGGGUCUUGAGGUCCGUCAGUCUCACUCUGAUCUCAUCAAAAAACCUGGUGACAAAGUGCAGAUUUUCUGCAGCCAUGAUAAGACUGACUACAGGGUGAUGCUCUGGUACCAGCGUUCACCAGGAGACACAGCAUUGAAACUCAUUGGAUACUUGAACUUCAAAGAUGUUAAAAUGGAAGAGCUAUAUGAUGAAGAUUUUAAAAUCUCUGGAGAUUUGUCUGGGAAUACAGCAAAGAAUGGCUCUCUGAUAUUAAAUCUUGCAGAAAAAGAGCACAGUGCAGUUUACUACUGUGCAGCCAGAGAAACACUGUGACAAAAAUUCCCUCUGAACUGAACAAAAACUCUGCACAAUCUUUUAUCGUCAAUGGCUUUGAAGUAGACACUGAAUAAAUUGCUGCCAGACA